rnacentral:rRNA from 1 species
AUUGAACGCUGGCGGCAGGCCUAACACAUGCAAGUCGAGCGGAUGAGGGAAGCUUGCUUCCCGAUUUAGCGGCGGACGGGUGAGUAAUGCCUAGGAAUCUGCCUGUUAGUGGGGGAUAACGCGGGGAAACUCGCGCUAAUACCGCAUACGUCCUACGGGAGAAAGUGGGGGCUCUUCGGACCUCACGCUAUCGGAGGAGCCUAGGUCGGAUUAGCUAGUUGGUGGGGUAAAGGCGCACCAAGGCGACGAUCCGUAACUGGUCUGCGAGGAUGAUCAGUCACACUGGAACUGAGACACGGUCCAGACUCCUACGGGAGGCAGCAGUGGGGAAUAUUGGACAAUGGGCGAAAGCCUGAUCCAGCCAUGCCGCGUGUGUGAAGAAGGUCUUCGGAUUGUAAAGCACUUUAAGUCGGGAGGAAGGGCUGUAGGUUAAUACCUUGCAGCCUUGACGUUACCGACAGAAUAAGCACCGGCUAACUUCGUGCCAGCCGCCGCCGUAAAAC